rnacentral:RNase_P_RNA from 1 species
UGGAGCGGAAGCGCGACUGACGGUACUUGCCUAAGGACAAGGGCUGAGGAAGCUCCCAACUACUAGCCGAUACUGGUCCUGUGAAAGCAGGGAGGCGAGAGCCUCGCUCUGGGAACAGAAACGAUACCUCCAAGGCAGAUAUGACAAUGAUGCGAUCUUCAGAAUCGCGGAGGACUGUAUUGGAUGGGAUGAAACGGCCUAUCACCAGGUAGCAAUCUCAAGAAUACACCGUUUACGAAUCGGCCGGAGGUGUAGGGUAGAGAGCAUAGACUGAUGUCGCAAGGUUCAGAUUGGUAACGAUCUGAAUAGAACAAAAUUGGGGCUAUUCAUCGCACCA